rnacentral:tRNA from 2 species
GCGGGUGUAACUCAGUGGUAGAGUAGCUGCUUCCCAUGCAGCCUGUCGCGCGUUCGAAUCGCGUCACCCGCU